ensembl:lncRNA
GAAAUAAGCAUCAACAUUUUGUUAUUUGUUCAUGCAUGUAUUCUUGACCAUUAUUUUGAUUGAAACUCACGUUUCGUGAGGGGGAUCUUGUAGUUUAUGACGAUUGUCUUUGAAUGCUUAUUCCCUUUCCGUUUCAGAGUACAGGUAUAUUCCUUUGUUUCAUUGACAUGAACAUGGCUUGUAAGUAGAAGGUGACAGUCACCCUUUUCUGUUUUACUAAAGACUGAGUCAUUUCUCUUCUCAUAGGGAUUUUCAGAGCUCCCCAACAGGGCCUCUGUGGUACGGAAUUCACACUGAAAGGAAGGUGACCCAGGACAUGGUGGAUACCGGCAUUCCAACCUGAGGAUCUUCUCUACAGUGAUGCAGGCACGACCCAAGGAUUGCCAUUCUUGAAAUCCUGUGGGAUGUUAACAUCAAAGACUGACAAAGUUUCCAAACAUCACUUCAAUAUUUUCAGUAACCUCCAGUCAUCAACUAUGUUGGACAGCUCUGAGUUGGCAG